rnacentral:lncRNA from 1 species
UUUGCCUUGUGUUUUUUUAAAUAAUUUUUUCAAAAUGAUGUGUAUCAUCAAGUUUUUUUUUUAAUUUUUUAAAAUUUUCUUAGAAGCCACUUUGGCCUUUUCAUUUUGUUUUCAAUUUACUUAACAAUUAAUAUUUUAAAAAAAUUGUUAAUAAACGCAAACAUGCCAUUGACAUUGUUCGAACCUAUGACUAAUGUAUCCAUAGUAUACCCCUUUACUAGCUAGACUGUUU